GUCACAGGCACCCCAAACCUAAACACAACACACAAUCACACACUCAUACACACCACGGGGGUAGACACGGACACAACCACAGAGUCCGUGGGCAUCUCUCAAAUUCCCAUGCCCAACCCGGUCACAAUUAAACUCUACUCACACCCGCACAAACAUAAACAAAAAGUCCUCCUCCCCGCCCUCACAGUUCCAUACACGGUCGCACAGACACACGCCCCCAGUCACAACCGUACACACUCCUCACAAUCGCUCCUUAGCCUGUUCCCCACGCAGCCCACACAGGUCGGGAGUUCCUGUCGCGCCAGGCUCCGAGCCGCCUCACUUACGCCUGUUCGGAUAGGGUCAGCUCCGUUCUACUAGAAUCCACACAAGUCGACCCUAGCUAUCUCACAAAGCCCCAAGGCCGCUUGCCCAAAUC
rnacentral:lncRNA from 10 species